CCGGACCCACCGGAUGACCGGGAUGCCUCAGCUGCAUCGUGCCUCCUACUCCACUGAGUGUGGGAGGCCCAAACGGCUGCCCACUGACCCCUGCCCACAGAUGGGGAGGAUGAGAAGCCCCCGCUGCCCCCGCGCUCUGGCUCCACCAGCAUUUCUGCCCCCACUGGGCCCAGCAGUCCCCUGCCAGCUCCUGAGACUCCCACAGCUCCAGCUGCUGAGAGUGCUCCCAAUGGGCUGAGCACCGUCUCGCACGACUACCUGAAAGGCAGCUAUGGGCUGGACCUGGAAGCUGUGAGGGGUGGAGCCAGCCACCUGCCCCACCUCACCCGUACCCUCGCUACCUCAUGCCGGAGGCUGCACAGUGAGGUGGACAAGGUCCUGUCAGGCCUGGAGAUCCUGUCCAAGGUGUUUGACCAGCAGAGCUCGCCCAUGGUGACCCGCCUUUUGCAGCAGCAGAACCUGCCACAGACAGGGGAGCAGGAACUAGAGAGCCUGGUGCUGAAGCUGUCAGUGCUAAAGGACUUCCUGUC
rnacentral:lncRNA from 1 species